AACUCCUAACAGUAGAUCACUCAGCUCAUGCAUUGAUGAAGAAUGCAGCUAGCUGUGAGAAUUAAUGUGAAUUGCAGGACACGUUGAUCAUCGACACUCCGAGUGCACUAGCAGCCCCAGGCUCUUUCUGUCUGAGCAUCG
rnacentral:rRNA from 1 species